rnacentral:rRNA from 1 species
GACAGAGGGUGCAAACGUUGUUCGGAAUUACUGGGCGUAAAGCGCGUGUAGGCGGCCCUGCAAGUCGGGUGUGAAAUCCCCCGGCUCAACCGGGGAACGGCUGGGUAUACUGGCGGUCUUGAGCCAUCCAGGGGCAGUCGGAACAGACGGUGGAGCGGUGAAAUGCGUAGAUAUCGUCUGGAACGCCGAAGGUGAAAACAGACUGCUGGGGAUGCGCUGACGCUGAGACACGAAAGCCAGGGGAGCGAACGGG